UACGAAGGGGGCUAGCGUUGUUCGGAAUUACUGGGCGUAAAGCGCACGUAGGCGGAUACUUAAGUCAGGGGUGAAAUCCCGGGGCUCAACCCCGGAACUGCCUUUGAUACUGGGUAUCUCGAGUCCGGAAGAGGUGAGUGGAAUUCCGAGUGUAGAGGUGAAAUUCGUAGAUAUUCGGAGGAACACCAGUGGCGAAGGCGGCUCACUGGUCCGGUACUGACGCUGAGGUGCGAAAGCGUGGGGAUCAAACAGG
rnacentral:rRNA from 1 species